ensembl:misc_RNA Metazoa_SRP Metazoan signal recognition particle RNA
GCCGGGUAUGGUGGCACAUGCCUGUAAUCCCAGCUACUUGGGAGGCUGAUGCUGGAGGAUCGUUUGAGCCCAGGAGGUUGAGGCUAUAGUGAGUUAUGAUCAUGCCACUACACUCCAACCUGGGCAAUAGAGCAAGACCCUGUCUCAA